GAUGAACGCUAGCGGCAGGCUUAACACAUGCAAGUCGAGGGGUAACAGGAGAAAGCUUGCUUUUUUGCUGACGACCGGCGAACGGGUGCGUAACGCGUAUAGAAUCUGCCUUGUACAGGAGGAUAGCCUUUAGAAAUGAAGAUUAAUACUCCAUAAUAUUGGGAAGUGGCAUCACUAUCUAAUUAAACAUUUAUGGGUACAAGAUGACUAUGCGUCCUAUUAGCUAGAUGGUAAGGUAACGGCUUACCAUGGCAACGAUAGGUAGGGGGUCUGAGAGGAUUAUCCCCCACACUGGUACUGAGACACGGACCAGACUCCUACGGGAGGCAGCAGUGAGGAAUAUUGGUCAAUGGAGGCAACUCUGAACCAGCCAUGCCGCGUGCAGGAAGACUGCCCUAUGGGUUGUAAACUGCUUUUAUACAGGAAGAAACAGUCGUACGUGUACGGCCUUGACGGUACUGUAAGAAUAAGCACCGGCUAACUCCGUGCCAGCCGCCGCCGUAACAC
rnacentral:rRNA from 1 species